rnacentral:lncRNA from 1 species
AGUGUCUAUACCUUAUUUCUAUGGUCUAUACAUGCAGUUAUAGAUUUAUUUCCUCUCUUGCAGCCAUGGCUACUUCUUCUGUCUUCACACAAGACAGUUUUUGGGCAUAUCUAAGCAGCCGAGGUAUUCCUGAGGAGAAUAUUCAAAAAAUGCAGCAGGAGCGGAUUGACUGCUCUGUUGUUGGACAAAUAGAUGAUAAGACCCUGGCUGAUUUUAUUCCAGCAUAUGGGGAUCGGAUUGCUGUAAAGCGCUUUUGCAUGGAAAAACAAAGAAAAUGUGUCACUGAUCCAAAAAAACAGUCGUUAUUUGAAAAACUUAAGAGAAAAAUGGAAACCAAAACAAACAAAGACCCGCAAUCUGAUGAGGAGCAUUCUCUCCGACCGACACAUAUGCAUCUACAUAAAAACAAAAGGGCUUUAAAGACGAAAAGGAAAAUAGAGCUGGGCUGGUUACACAACCAAAAAAUGGUGAAGAAACGUUAUGGUGGAGGAACCAGAGUUGUUGAAAUAUCCAAGACUGCCACAACUAAGGACAUUUUAUCACAUGCCAAGAUGCUAUUUUUUCCUGAUGAUCAGUCUAGGCAAGGAAAGUGGGAGGAUUUUAGCCACUCCAUUGUUGAUUUUCAGGAAGCAUACCUUGAUGAGCAUGUCACUGUGGGGGACCUCUAUGAAAUACAUACGUUUGGUGUGUUAAGAUUUUAUUUGCUAACAGAGGCCACUGAAAAUCUCAUACAGUUUGAAGAAGAAGCUGAAGUGGCUAGCACAGAUGAACGGCAGCAAAGCACCCCUGAUCAAGUGACACUGAAGACAAAUGAGCAACAGCCAGACACUGAACAACAACAAAACAGUGACCAUAUACAAAAGGACUGUACCACACAUUUGCCUCCUGCUGAUUUGGCUACUGUUGAGAUUAUUGAUGUUGAUCUUGACUCUUUAGACGAUACAUCUGAGAUUAUUAUUGGUGCUAUGCAAAACGCGGGAAUUGUCAGUUUUCUUGAUGACACCGUUCCAUUUGAGCCCAUUCAGAGUGAAGAACACCCCAACAAUCCACAAGCAAAAGUGAACUUGAACACCUCAACUCCCAUUAGAUCUGACACAGAAC